UAGGGAAUCUUCGGCAAUGGACGAAAGUCUGACCGAGCAACGCCGCGUGAGUGAAGAAGGUUUUCGGAUCGUAAAACUCUGUUGUUAGAGAAGAACAAGGACGUUAGUAACUGAACGUCCCCUGACGGUAUCUAACCAGAAAGCCACGGCUAACUACGUGCCAGCAACCGCGGUAAUACGUAGGUGGCAAGCGUUGUCCGGAUUUAUUGGGCGUAAAGCGAGCGCAGGCGGUUUCUUAAGUCUGAUGUGAAAGCCCCCGGCUCAACCGGGGAGGGUCAUUGGAAACUGGGAGACUUGAGUGCAGAAGAGGAGAGUGGAAUUCCAUGUGUAGCGGUGAAAUGCGUAGAUAUAUGGAGGAACACCAGUGGCGAAGGCGGCUCUCUGGUCUGUAACUGACGCUGAGGCUCGAAAGCGUGGGGAGCAAACAGG
rnacentral:rRNA from 2 species